rnacentral:misc_RNA from 1 species
AACGGUCUAUACCUGCGGUACCUGCGGAAGGAUCAUUAUCGAGUUUUGACGGGGUUGUAGCUGGCCUUUCGAGGCAUGUGCACGCCCUACUCAUCCACUCUACACCUGUGCACUUACUGUGGGUUUUUGGUUCGCGGAGAGGGUCCUUUAAAUUAGGGCUCGCGAAGCGUCCCUAAGCCUGCGUUUACUACACACCCUUUAAAGUAUCAGAAUGUGUAUCGCGCUAUAAACGCAUCUAUA